rnacentral:lncRNA from 1 species
UUUUUUUUUUUUUUUUUUUUUUUAAGAUAUCUUUGUUUCUAGUGUCCUCCAAACUUCUAAUGUUGAAAGAUCUAAUUUCAUUGCAUAGAGCAUUGCAGAAGGCUCUGCCAGGCAAUAUUGCUGAUUGAGAAUACAUUAAUCUGAGUGCUACUGGCAAUUGGCAAGUAUACAUUGUGCUUGUUUCUAAAGUUCUCUUCCCCCCUGUCCUUAAAGUUCAGAUAGUUUUUACAGCACCCAAGGCAGGCGGUAUUCCUUAAUUUUUUGUAUUUUACAUGCUCUUCUAUUUGGAAUAAGCUGAACAGGUAAUGAAAGAGAAAAAAGGGAACAACCCCCAAAGCACAAGAAACGUAUCUCUCAUUUUGCCUACAUUUCUGUUUUCACAGCAGUCUGAGUUUGUUUUUGCCUUGCUUUCUCUCCUGAAGGUUGGAAAAAUGCCAGUGAUGCACGUAAGCCAGAUGUUUGGAAGCUUGCAGAGCCAGCUACUUUGAAAAAGAAAAACGUUAGGGAAGGGACUUCUCAAGGGCUAGACAUUUGCUAAUAAAUGAUGGAGCUCUUUUUUCUCUGCAGAUGUUCCAUUCUAACAGAAGGAAGAUUCUUUCUUUAGUUUGAGGUUUAUCUCGAUUUAGCUUUGUUCUUUUGUCCUCUGCACUAGAGAUGCGUGCUUUGUAGAUGAUACUGUGUGCUUUCUAUGUGUCCCUGCUGUUUGGGAAACUAAAUUCCUGUUAUAUGUUACUGCAAUGAACCAUCCUGGACCAGAUUUGCUCCUUAGACAGAUUUACCCCUUGCUGAGUUUGUAUCAAAGGGCCCAGUUUUACAAAAUGUUAAAAAGCUCUAUUUCAAAAUCUAGGAAAUAAGACUGCUAUCAGGCAACACUGGUAGCCAUGCAGGAUCAGGAUCUAAAUAUGUGCACUUGGUUUGAAAGAGUUUUUAUUUCAUUUCAUCUUUAGAUUAAAUACAAAGGUUUAAAUAAAUAUCAGUGCUGAUUGUUUACAAUUUUCUCCCCACCAUGGCUUUAAACAUUUAUUAUUCUGACUCUUUUAAAAUACACUGGCAUCUUUUUAUGGCUAUAUUAAGCAAACCUCCAGGGCAGCAGACAGGGCAGGGUAUUAUUCUGAGAUUAAGGGAAGAAAAUGAGAAAGAAGCAUAUGAACAAAGGCAGACUGAACAGGAAGAGGAUCACACUCUUUUUCCACUGCUGGAGGAAACUGCAGCCCCUAUUGCGUGUGCUCUGAAAGUGAUUAUCUCCAGCCACUAGUGCUCUCAGAGUCUAAUCUGCUGAUUCCUUGGCUUUUUUUCAUCAGGGUUGGAAAUGAGACAUCAAAAAGCAUUAAUAUCCAUCAUAGCCAAGAUCCAGACCAAAGGGACCAUUAGCUUAUCUAUAUAAAAUAUUUCCUGGAUAAAUUUUGUUUCCCAAACACAUUUUGAGGUGAUAAUUUACUAUUCUCAAUGCUUUCAUUUUGCAAGGGAGUUGACAGCUAUUGUGGAAAUGAAAUGUAUCUGGCACUGCAACUUCAUGUGCUAUCACUUUGAUUACAUUAUAUAUAUGCAUCCAAGGAUUUUGAUUGUGGAACCACAGAUGUCUGGGGCUUGGCUAAUAAAAGACAGAAUUGUCAGCUGCCCUGUAUCAAGGAUAACCGUCUCUCCCUGGGAAGCAGAGACUGAAGUGCCAGACUUAUGUCCUCACACUGUGAGGUCGCUAAUUAACUGCAACACCCAGAGUGGACCAGAGUGAAAUCAAUAUAUUAAGCCCCACUGAUGGCAAAAAAAUCCUCAAACCUCCAGUAAUUUAGAAACAAGAGCAAUGCAUGAGUAUGAAAAUACAAAAAAAUUUAUCCCUUUUUUUGGAUGCUGUUCAAUUCUUUUCUAAGAUUUUGAGAAGAGUAAUAUUUGUUUGUCUGUAUAUCAUAAGUCUGUACUACGACACUGCUCCAUUUAUCACCCUAUUAAAUUGAAUUGCUUAUUUAAUUAAAUGUUCUGUGCAACAGCAGUACCUGAUGUGCAUAACAGAUAGCAAUGCAGAGAAUGUCACAGUGCAAUACUGGGCUUUAAUUUUUGAAUAGUGUUGACUGGGCUGUCCAGAGUCUUGCAGAAGGACUCAGUGCUCCUCUGUGCUAAAAGGCAUUGUUUUCUCCCCACUGCCUCAGACUAGGGCUGCGUCCUUUGGGCACCUCACCAACAGUCUCACACCACCAAGGAAGGAACCCAGGUUCUUCAGCUACUCUGUCAAAAGCUUUUGUCUGCCAUCAGGACAGAUGGACAAAAUGCAAAGAAUUGUCUGCAAAUUGGAUCUUGAAAGGGGUUCGAAUAUCUACUCUAAUGCUAAGAUGAACAACCAAAAAAACUCUAACAAGCACCAAAGCUGCUUCAGUUCUGGGUCAUUCUCUGUGAAACCUAGAUUUGUGGCUGAGAAGGAGCACCUGUUCCUUCUGCUUAUUCUUGCUACCUAUACCCACAUAAAAAUUUUUUCCCUGUUGAGUGUCUUAGGUGCAAUUAACUAUGAACAGUGUGGUUUCUCCUGGAAGGCAAUUAAAGUGUUUGAUAAAUUAAAAACCACAAUGAUUGUAGGAAGUAUGUGUGGACAAGACUCACUCCAUUUAUGCCUUUUAUUAAUUGAUUCUAUGGGUGAGUGGUUGGAUACUUCCAACGCAGAUUACAGUUUGCAAUGUUGUGCAAAGCUGUGGCUAUUUUUUUGCUAAUGCAGCUACACUGAGCUCUAGAUGAAGAGGAUAGCAGAUGGACAGGAUUAAACUAUGUAGGGAACAGAAAUGAAAUUCUUUACUGUUUCAUUAUUAUGGCUAUAGGUAUCUAGUUCAUUCUGCAGCUUUUGUAUCAAUUUAAAUUCUUCAGCGCUGUGAUUAUUGUGUCACUGAAGAUUGCCUGCAUACAAGUGCAAGAUAAUUCUACCAUUUGAGACUUCUAUUUCCUGUUGCAUUACACAUCUUUUAUCAGAGCAUCACACAGACACAAAAUCUGUAGCUAUAAUCUGCUUGGCUACUUAAGUUGGCACUACAAACAUCUCUACCAGCAGCUAUGGUCUGUGCACUGGAUAUUAAUUUAAGUUGUAUUUGAGAUAUAUGUGAUAUGUUGAAAACCUUACGGUUUUUAUAAGGGCAGUGUGAAACCUCAGUUUCAUCCUGGUCAGCAGCCUCUCUGUGAGGUCUUGCCAGAUCACCUGUCACUGAGCACUUUGGGAAAUUUUCCAGUGGGCAGUACAAGACCUUUCUCAGGAACUGGCUGUAGAAUAUCUCGUCUGGAAAGAAGAGUAACCUGACUAUUUUCAGAACUAAAUCCAUAAUUAAUUUCUUUAAUUUAGACUCUCCUUCGACAAAAUUUUUCAUUCCCUUGCCAUCUAUAGGUGUGGAAGCAGAUAGGAGUCUAACAUCACAUACUGUCUUGAACACUGGUGCACAAAGCAUCAACACGCACCUAUGCAUCAAUCAGCCUAUGUUCCAAGGUGGCAGAAAGCAGCAUUUAAAUGCUAAAAUGACGGCUUGAGAUACCUGCAAAAUUAUUUAUUAAAAUAAUUUUGGCACAUUAGAUGAGUAGAGGAUAACAUCCCAUUACAUGUGCAUAAAUCAAAAGUAAUAUUCAGACUCUGUUCAUUGGGCUACUUAUUAAUGAAAACAUGAAAAUCUGUAAAAUAGUAUAUACAAAAUUAGUGAUAUUUUAAUAUCAAUAUCAUAAUGGUUAUUAUGGAAGUCCAUUUCCAGGAUAAACUGCAUUUCUUAUUAAUAGGGUAUAGGAAUCUGCUCUCAUUGCUCUACUAUCAGUGGAAAAGAAAGGGAGGUCAGGGUAAAAAACCCAAAAUUUCAAUUAUAUUUACAGCAGCAGCUGAAGGGGAACAAAAUCAAUGAAAGGAGCAUACCUAUUAGAGACCUGCAGUUGCCAUAAAAGUGAAACUAAAUCACACUGACAGUGUCUGAGCUUCAGAUAAAUUGCUUUGAAUUCAGAAUGGGAGCCUGAAGAAAUAAUGGAAAUUAUAUUGCAGUUGUUGAAGAAAGGAAUAAAACUUUUUAUAUCUGUUACUUCUCUAGAUUUUUUUAGUAUUUCAUGGAUCAAAUGCUGAUUUGUUUUUUUAUUAUUAUUUUUUUUGUUUCUCUAAGAGACAGAACAAUGCUGUCAAUCACCUUGGCACUGACUUAGUUAGGCUUUUAUGUGCUUUUUAGAGAUGUGAUAUUUCUCUUUGGUAGUCAUCCAAGGUGACCCAUAGUUAAGUCUCAGUUCUUGUUACAAAAACCCAAACAACAACAUAGAAACGCAAGAGAGAUGAGAUGAGAUGAUGAGAUGAGAUGAGAUGAGAUGAGAUGAGAUGAGAUGAGAUUGAGACGAGAUGAAAUAACUACUUUAAAUUUACUGUUUCAAUAACUCUAAAAUUCAGUUCAUUUACUGUGACAUCUGCAUGCAAUAGAAUCUUCUGCUGGUCCCUGUGAAUUUCAUUUUCAAGCGUAGCUGCACUUUCCAAAUUCAAAUUCACUGUAGCUUUUGGUUCUGAAAGACUCAGAAUUUAGCUGUCAUAUUAAUUGCCUUAACUCCUCGGUUUACUUUCUGCAAUAUCCCUGAGAAAUCUGCUGCAAUCUAGAUUUUACAAUAAUACAUUUUAUAAAAAUUCUUUGGUUUCUUCAUGAAUGGACACUUCAUACAUGGAUUUUGCUCAUGUCUUCUCAGAGAGCCCUGUGUUGAUGACCAACCAUACUCUCAAGUUACUUUUACUUAUACAGAGGAGGCAAAUGAAAUUGGGAAACAACCAGAGUGCAUUGGGAGAGAGGUUUCUCCAAUGCUUAUGCUUAUGUUAUGGAACCCCUUAUACAAGCACUGUGACCCUGUUGCUGUGCUUUCCAGAUUAUGUAUAUUAUUUUUGCUUAAUUUGAAACACUAUAGUUUGUUAAUUGUAUUUUUUUUCAGUUUUGUAGAACAUAUCUUGGAUGCUGAUAAUUGCUAAGAUAUAUAUAUUUAUAGAGUCUUGAAUUGUUGUUAAUACCAAUGUGUUACACCAUUUUAUUGACGAAAGAAGAGUUCAUCCGCAUUUGCCCAAGGUCUUCAUAUUACAUUUGUGUGGAAAGAACCUAAACUCUGGACUAAAAUCCUAGCUACUCUACACUGAAAUUAAACUCAAAAAGACUUCAGAUAUUACAAUAGA